rnacentral:rRNA from 1 species
GACGAACGCUGGCGGCGUGCUUAACACAUGCAAGUCGAGCGGUAAGGCCCUUUCGGGGGUACACGAGCGGCGAACGGGUGAGUAACACGUGGGUGACCUGCCCUCAGCUCUGGGAUAAGCCCGGGAAACUGGGUCUAAUACCGGAUAUGACUUCAUGACGCAUGUUGUGGAGUGGAAAGCCUUGUGCGGCUGAGGAUGGGCCCGCGGCCUAUCAGCUUGUUGGUGGGGUGAGGCCUACCAAGGCGACGACGGGUAGCCGGCCUGAGAGGGCGACCGGCCACACUGGGACUGAGAUACGGCCCAGACUCCUACGGGAGGCAGCAGUGGGGAAUCUUGCGCAAUGGGCGAAAAGCCUGACGCAGCGACGCCGCGUGAGGGA